GGACAAUGGUCGGGAUAUAAACCCAGGCAUUCCAGCUGGCAAUGGCAAUCCCCUUUGGGUCCCCUCCCAUUGCAUGGGAGCUGUGUUUUCACUCUAUUAAAUCUUGGAACUGCACACUUUUCUGGUCCGUGUUUGUUAGGGCUCGAGCUGAGCUUUCGCUUGCUGUCCACCACUGCUGUUUGCUGCCGUCGCAGACCCGCAGCUGACUUCUACCCCUCCGGAUCCAGCAGGGUGUCUGCUGCACUCCUGAUCCAGUGAGGCGCACAUUGCCACUCCCAAUCGGGCUAAAGGCUUGCCAUUGUUCCUGCACGGCUAAGUGCCCAGGUUUGUCAUAAUCAAGCAGAACACUAGUUGUGGGUUCCACAGUUCUCUUCCAUGACCCAUGGCUUCUAAUAGAGCUGUAACACCCACCGCGUGGUCCAAGAUUCCAUUCCUUGGAAUCCGUGAGGCCAACAACCCCAGCUCAGAGAACAAGAGGCUUGCCACCAUCUUGGAAGCGGCCUGCCACCAUCUUGGGAGUUCUAAGAACAAGGGACCCUAGUAACGUCUCCAUCUAACUCUAAUUAUUGUACUUCCUGAGGGCUUGGCUCUGAGAUUUGUUCCUACAUACUCUCUGUGAUGUAGCUCAGAACAACAUGGAGAAGCAAAGGAGGAGAACCAAGAAAAACUGGCAUCUUAGCAGAAUGUAUUUCAAGAAAUAGAGGGUGAUAAACUAACAAAAUGAUGGUAAUAGAUCUGGUAAAAUAAACACCGAGGAUUAACCGUGGAAUUUAAUACAGUGGUGAUUAUCAGUGACCUUGACAAUGUUAUUAGGGGAGUGGUGGUGGCAAGUGAUGAUUGGAGAGAGUUCAAGAGAGAACAGAAGGACAGGAAGUAGAAACAAGUAUUGACAAUUCUUUUGAAGAUUUAUUGUGAGGGAAGAUGGGGAAAAAAUCUUAUUAUCUGCAGAAGGGUGUAAGAUCAGAGAAGAGUUUAUGGUUUAAGAUGGGAGAUGUUAAUGCAUGAUUUAUCCUUAAGCCAUGAUUCAUAUGUGGAAGCAAAGACUGUAAUGAUGUAGAAAGCUCAAAAUUGUAGGAGCAUUGCCAUUGAGUUUGCUCUUAGGAUCCAAAUCACACUUUGGAGUGAUUGCCUACUGCAUCUAGAGUGCAGGUGGAAUAUAUAAACAUUAAUACAGGUUCAUUGGCUGCUCUGGUGUUUGGCAUAAGAGGGAAGAUGGGAAGAUCUCUGAUUGAUUGCUUUGUUUUUGCAGUGAAAUAAAAAUAAUGUCCUCAUCUGAGAGUGAAUAAAGUGAAUGAAUAAGUAACUGAA
rnacentral:lncRNA from 10 species